GGUAUCCUACGGGAGGCAGCAGUGGGGAAUAUUGCGCAAUGGGGGGAACCCUGACGCAGCAACGCCGCGUGCAGGAAGAAGGUCUUCGGACUGUAAACUGUUGUCGCAGGGGAAGAAGACAGUGACGGUACCCUGUGAGAAAGUCACGGCUAACUACGUGCCAGCAGCCGCGGUAAUACGUAGGUGACAAGCGUUGUCCGGAUUUACUGGGUGUAAAGGGCGCGUAGGCGGA
rnacentral:rRNA from 1 species